rnacentral:misc_RNA from 1 species
GAUGAAGAACGUAGCGAAAUGCGAUAAGUAAUGUGAAUUGCAGAAUUCAGUGAAUCAUCGAAUCUUUGAACGCACAUUGCGCCCGCCAGUAUUCUGGCGGGCAUGCCUGUUCGAGCGUCAUUACAACCCUCAGGCCCCCGGGCCUGGCGUUGGGGAUCGGCGGAAGCCCCCUACGGGCACAACGCCGUCCCCCAAAUACAGUGGCGGUCCCGCCGCAGCUUCCAUUGCGUAGUAGCUAACACCUCGCAACUGGAGAGCGGCGCGGCCACGCCGUAAAACACCCAACUUCUGAAUGUUGACCUCGAAUCAGGUAGGAAUACCCGCUGAACUUAAGCAUAUCAAUAAGCGGAGGA